CCCUUUGACAAGGGAGAAGAACGGCGGACUGUUAAUCCGUAUGUCACUGGUUCGAGUCCAGUCAGAGGAGCCA
rnacentral:tRNA from 1 species